rnacentral:snoRNA from 1 species
UGUUUAUGAUGAUAAACUUAAUUUUCAGUUCUGCUACUGAACAAAUCUUGAUGACAAACCUAUACCAAUACCAAAAAACAUAUCUGAUAA